UGAUCCUUCAUAUUCAGCAUCCAGAAACAGAACCAGCAGUGUGAGUAGCAGAAGAAUGUGAUUUGGGGGGGUGGGGGAUCAGCCCCAGUAUUCCACUUAGUUACAAGAAGAGCAACCACACCCUUGACAAAGUGGAUCUCUCAAUCCAUCCUCCCCGACAACCUCAGUAACACCAGACACUCCCACAGCACCAUCAUUGCCUUUGUUUAAAAGCCACUGACAAGACUCCCAUUCAAGGCAUCUUCCUUUGAGAGGAUUCCUGACAGUUUUACUACUGUGGCUUCUUUAUGGGGCCAGGGAAGAGGGAGGGACAGGAGAAAAUCAAUAGCAGGCAGUGGGCAGAGCCCGAGAAUGCUGAACUCUGGUCUGUGACCUCCUUCCCCACCCCUCCCUGCCCAGGCAAAGCUCACAGGACUUAGAUUUAAAAGGGUACACUCCGAGACCUGAAGGGCAUCAAGAUUGGAGUUGACCAGGUCCAGGGGGACUUCAAGAAAGGUCAUGACCAUGGAUUUAUUUGCUCAGGGCCUCCAGGCUGCUGGGAAGGGAGUGGGAUCAGGGUUGGGCGAUGGAGACUGAGGGAGUGCUGUGCCUGUUUCCUCCAGACAUGGUCUUCAGAAAGGAGGAGGGCUGCUAAGGAAAGCCUGCAUCCCUCAGGCUGGAGGGAUGGACUAUCUAGGUCACUAAGAGGAGAUGGGGAGAAUGUGAAUCCUAGUAAUGAAGUCAGCUGUUCUGCCGUGGACAGAGAGUAAGCAGAUGGCUGCUACCAGGGAAUCUGGACAGCCAUAGUGAGAAAGGGUCCCCUCUGUAGACACAAUACCUGGGUGCUGCAGUAAGGAAUGAAUCCCUGCCUCAGAGAUGGCAUUGCAGCUAGCCCCAGGGGAGAGAAAUCAGAGUGACAGUGAGGGAAGAGUAAAUAGUAGCACACAGCCUCUAAGUGGAACACUCAUAGGAAGGAAUCUCCCUCAACACUCAAGCAGCACCAAGGCUGUGUGUCCAGUGAGUAAAUGACCUCAAUGGAACUGCGUCUUUGUAGCCAUUACUUACCCAGUGAAAAUCCCCUGCCCAAGGGAUAUCCAUGCCUAUCUGACACUGGAAAUGGAGCCACCUCCCUGUGCAUGUGGGUUUUCUCAUACAAAAUAAAUUAGGCUGAAAUUAGCCCCACUUCUACUUCAAUUUGCCCUUCUUCGCUAUUAGUGAGGUUAAGUGCCAGUUUUCCAAAUUUGUACCCUUUUCCUCUCAUAUCCCUGUUGGGGCAGACCUAUAACUACAUCAUUAAACUGAACAGUGCCCUUGAGAUACUAAUAAUAACAAAGAAAAAAGAAAGGAAAAACUAGAGUUAGAGAUGGUACAAAAUACAGUCUGGGGUCCAGCCCCUCUCUGUCUGAAGAACAAGAGUCUGGGGCUGAAGAGACAGCUCUUAAGUUAAGAGCACUUGCUGCUCUUACAGAGAACUCCAACAGGGUUCCCAGCACCCAUGUGCUGGCUUACAGCUGUUCAUAACUCUGAUUCCAGGGGGAUCUAGUGCUGUCUUUUGGCCCUAUUAGGCACUGCAUGCACAUGGCACACAAACAUGCAGGCAAAAACCAUACAUAUAACAUAAAAUAAAUGAAUAUAAAAAUAGAGUCUACAUGGCUUAAUCUUAACUGUGAAACAGAGAGAUACUAGCAGUUCCUGAUUCAAAGGACUGAGUCCUAUUAAAAGAUUUAAGUGAACUAAUAUAUGAAAACCAUCCAGUUUAGUGCUUAGUAAUAGUUAUUUUAAACACAGGCUAAUACAAUUAUGCUUUCCAGUGCAGCCGUAACAUCCUUAGAGUUACUUUCAUUUGUAGAGUCCAAGCACUAGCCUAGGCAGUGUCUGUAGGUACUCGUCAUAUGAGUAAAAUAUGGAAGGAGUCAAUGGAGUAGACUUUCUGAAAUUGGUGCCGUGUGCAAGUGAAUCCUAGACAGCAGCAAACACUCACGGAUCAUGUUUUCUUAUAUAAGUCAGGUUGCCAGUAACUGGCUAGGAGAAUGCAUGUGAAGAUUAAACAACAUAAGUCUUCAGCACAGUGCCUCCAGGCAGAAACUGAUGUGGUAGCGUCUGUGACAAUUAAUAUUCAGUUACUGUUAUUAUGACAGGCCAUGUGCUAAGCACUUCAUACACACACACACACACACACACAUGUGAGUGCACACACACCCUUUAAGUCCUUACAUACCCUUAUGAGUAGGUGACAUACCCAACACAAGACAAUAGAAUUUAGAUAAGACAGCAUGGCUCAUGCUGCACCCCUAUACGAGAGAAUUAAGGUUGAGAUUCAGUAUCCUCCAAUUUUCAUAGGCUGCUUAUUUAUCUGCCCCAUUUUAGAAAUUAUUAUAGUAUUAUGUUCCAUCUCUAUUUUCCCAUUUUCCUUAUAGAGUUAUCAUUGGUCAUGUCCAUGUCUGUAUUCCUCUCUAAGCUGAAAUUCUGGAGCUAACUCUUGUCCAUUUUUCCAUAAUACAUUCUUAUAUUACUAAUGGUUACUAUAAUGCAAUAUGUCAACUUCUGUAAAGACUAUUAUAAAUAUUCCCAGCCCCACCCAUUUAAUGAAUGUAUGUGCUCCUCCUAGCAUAUCAUCACACCCCACUCCCUUGUUGAAUGUUCAUGUUUCUUCUAGCAUACUUCCUUGUAUCUAUACUAACUCUUUGUACAGUCAAGGUCCAAGGCUCUCUAUCCAACAUGCUCUGUUUCCAUCUUGAACCCAUAACCAUUGUCAUCAGCAACAGCUGGGCCAGCAGCAGCUUGCCUGUUUGCUCAGUGUCACCAUACCAUUGUCCUCCAGAACUUCCACCUCCAGCCUUAUCCUCUGCCCACCUGCUCAGUGCUUCCUCUGCAUUUCUAACCCUUCCUGAGCUGAGAGGAAGAAGUGGUCCUAAUGCUGCAAUAGAAUCUCUCUCCACCCCUCUCUUAUGAUCACACAAUACAGCCUGGACCACAUGCCUAAUGUCUGUGGCCAGAGCUACAAAACUGACUCUGAGGAUAGUCAAGUCAAGACACCUUUCCCCUCGCUCUUGACUCUAUUGCAAAGAUGUUCCCCUGGGAGGACACAUUCAUUCCGACCAUAUUUCUACUGACUACUACACUGCAUUUAGACACAGUGAUUACAUAACAUUACUAAUGUUGGGUGGACUCCUUCUUAGCAGCUACUCCUGGGCAGAAGCUUUGUGCAGGACCCUGGGACAGCAGUGAUUCCAGCAACCCUGUCCUUGUUUCCAGAGUACUCUCAUCCAUCUGAUCCACGUUUAAAUCAGCUCAAGUUCACUGUGGAACCCACUAAGGUGUGGAUUUUGCCAACUGAAACCUCCAAGGAUGUCUAGAUUGAUUCCCUUCCUGUCACCCCUGUCUCUUGAGUGUCAGGCCCAGAUGGUCCCUUUCCUAAUGAGAUGAAAGAAAUAAGACAUAGAAAAAUGAAGGAAGUUCUCUGCAAUUGCACACCUGGUAUAGAUGAUGACACUAAGAUUUAAACUCCAGAACUCUUCUCUCCAUGAUCCUAUUCUGUCUCACCAGUAAAAUGACAGAUGUCAAUCUUGCUCCAUAUGCUUUCAUGUCAAGAGCUGAGCAUGCCAGAACAUUGAAAAGAAGCAUUAUUUCACAUCACUUAUUUACUCUUAACACAGAAACUGUCCUUUGGGGCCCAAAGACAAAUGGAAUUGCUUAGCCUGAAGAUGGUUGUUUUCACAGACUGAUGGAAACCAUAAAACCUAAGAUACAAAAUGUGACCUGUGCCUUUGACCCAAACACCAUUCUUUACUGGGAAGAACAGGAAAAGAGCUGUGGAUUUCUGAGAAUGGAUGCUGAAAUAUCUCCUUUGUCUCUGCCUCAUAUUGCCCUCCUCUCAAUGAGAAAGAUGAGACAGCAAAGCUCCUUACUUAGUCACAAAGAGUCUCUCUAAAACCAGUCCUUCAUUUUUUACAUUCAAAAUCAAUGGAAGAAAUCACAUGAAGAUCAAUACUUUCAAAUCCAUAAAAAUUAAAAACUACUCUAUGUCAAAAUUUCACACAACCCAAAUUAAAAGCAAACAGUAAAUGGAGAAAAAUAUUCUCUACAGCUAUGAGGGUGAAAUCCAAUUUGGCUCAGUUGAACACAUGUCCGUUGUACACCCUCAGAUACUGUCCCUACACUGUCCUUAAGAUGAUCCCUUUUGGAGUUGUCCUUGACCCUUCAGAAUCCAGAUCCUCCAGUAUGAAUGACUUUAGCUUUCAUCAGGUGACUUGGUGCCCAGUCACUCUGGCUUCGAUGGGAUAAAUAGGACACACAUGUCACUUGGAACCUCAUGAGUCUCUUCAGCAAUUCCUCUUUUUUCUGCCUCAUGUCUUCCAUAGCAAAUAUAACACACAAGGCAGUGAUGUGGAGUCAUGGAGACAGCCGUUCCACCCUACCGAUACUGACGGGAACAGUUCUGCUGUUUCGGCAUGAAGGAAGACACAGGCUCUCCACCUGAGAAGCUUCAUGUUGAGCAGCCUCCUGUGUCUAUCACCUGCCUUGAUGCUGUGACAAAACAUCUGGUGACAAGCAAACUCAAGGGCAGGCUUUUCUUGGGGGAAAGAAUGGCAGCAGGCACUUGGGCAGCUGGCCACGUUGCACCUGCAGACAGGAAGCAGGAAGAGAUGCACAGCGAUGCUUAGUUCGCUUUCCAUAUUUUAUUUGUUCCAGGAUCCUCAUACUCACAAAGUUGGUGCAGGACACAGAACCUAGUGGUAUUCAGAGGGUGUCACGCUCCUUUGACUAGCCUGAUGAGAUAUGACAGCAACUGAGCUUGUAUCUCUUCUAGAUCUUAGUCCUUGGAAAGAUGCUGCCAUAAAGUGGCUUUCUGCCACAAUUCACCUAAUCUAGAAAUUCCUGACAAGCACGCCCAGAGGCUUGCCUCCCAGGUGAUGCUAGACCCUGUCAAGCUGAAAACCAAAAUUAGCCAUCACACUCCCAUCCCUAGUUUUCCCUGAGGAUUUGUUUUUUUUCAAUUGUGCAUGAAUAUCACAUUUUAUCUGAAUGCUUUUUGUCAUCCAUUGCUAAUUAUCAUGUGGGUUUUCAUAUUGAAAAGCUGUCAGUAUAUUAAUAGGUUUUUUUCCUAACACUAAACUGUUCUUGCUUCCCUAGAAUAAAAUUGGGUUAGCUGUGA